rnacentral:misc_RNA from 1 species
UCUCCGUAGGUGAACCUGCGGAGGGAUCAUUACAGAGUUCUCGCCCUCGCGGGUAGAUCUCCCACCCACUGUUAUCGUUACUGUGUUACUUUACCGGGCCACCGGAAGCCGCUCGGCCGAACGACCCGGCUGGCGCCGCCCCCCCAGAUGCCCCACAAACUCUGGAUGCUAACGUCGUCUGAGUACAAUAUAAUAGAUAAAACAUUAAACAACCGAUCGCUUGGUUCUUGCAUCGAGGAAGAACCAAGCAGAACGGAAACACGCCCGUACUCCAUUCAC